GAUGAACGCUGGCGGCGUGCUUAACACAUGCAAGUCGAACGGUGAAGCAGGAGCUUGCUCCUGUGGAUCAGUGGCGAACGGGUGAGUAACACGUGAGCAAUCUGCCCUGGACUCUGGGAUAAGCGUUGGAAACGACGUCUAAUACCGGAUACGAGGCGUGGGGGCAUCCCCAACGCCUGGAAAGAACUUCGGUCCAGGAUGAGCUCGCGGCCUAUCAGGUAGUUGGUGAGGUAACGGCUCACCAAGCCUACGACGGGUAGCCGGCCUGGGAGGGUGACCGGCCACACUGGGACUGAGACACGGCGCAGACUCCUACGGGAGGCAGCAGUGGGGAAUAUUGCACAAUGGGCGCAAGCCUGAUGCAGCAACGCCGCGUGAGGGACGACGGCCUUCGGGUUGUAAACCUCUUUUAGCAGAGAAGAAGCGAAAGUGGCGGUACCUGCAGAAAAAGCACCGGCUAACUACGUGCCAGCCGCCGCCGUAACAC
rnacentral:rRNA from 1 species